CCGUGCUAAGCGGGGAGGUAGCGGUGCCCUGUACCCGCAAUCCGCUCUAGCGGGGCCGAAUCCCUUCUCGAGGUUCGUUUACUUUAAGGUCUGCCUUAAGUAAGUGGUGUUGACGUUUGGGUCCUGCGCAAUGGGAAUUCAUGAACCAUGUCAGGUCCGGAAGGAAGCAGCAUUAAGUGAAACCUCUCAUGUGCCGCAGGGUUGCCUGGGCCGAGCUAACUGCUUAAGUAACGCUUAGGGUAGCGAAUCAACAGAAGGUGCACGG
rnacentral:SRP_RNA from 1 species